rnacentral:lncRNA from 1 species
CAGGCUGAGGAAGCUGUAAACUUAGAUCAAUGACCUAUGACCUAAUGAGAAAGUACCUGGUUGUUAUUGUUAAUCCCUGACUUCUUGUAUUAUGGUCUGGUGGUGUUGUUCCAGGGAGAGCAGGCCAACACCAACCUGACUAAGUGCAGAAAGAUGUAGCAUGACCUGGAGGAGGCAGAGGAGAGGGCUGACAUCGCAGAGUCCCAGCUCAACAAGAUUAGAGCCAAGAGCAGGGAUGCCGGGAAGGUGAGUGAAACAAAACAGCAACCUUUUCUCAGUGAGUCUGGAUUUGGGUAAGGUUGAAGACACUUUAUUUUACAGUCCUCUCUCAGCUGGUCCUUU